GUGACAUUGUUCUACUCGCCAAACCUGUAACUUUAACAGAGGGUGACAGGGUGACCUUGACGACAGAUGUUCCUGUGGCAACAGAUGGCACGAGCAAACCCGAGAAGCUGCUGUAUGCCGUCUCCCUGCCACCUGUGCAUGGUCAGAUUGAGCACAUCAAUUAUCCCGGCGUGCCCAUUUCCAGUUACAGCCAGUUGGAUGUGGUGGCCCAGAAGGUCUCCGACGUCCACGACAAUAGCCAUGGGGCCGGUAAGGAGGCACUCAGGUACAGCAGUGGAACAGAUUUUCUCCAAAAUUCCUACAAUGGAUAAGCCCCACCACCCUGCAGGACCUGCGUGUUGGGUCAGUGUAGAACACCAGGAACCCCUCACAUUAGCAAGCCACUCACUUUCUCAGCAAAAAUCAGGAUCUCAGUUCCAGCCUCUUAGGGUUCAACACCUUCAUCCAGGUUUGAAUCAGCACAUCAUCUCAUACAUGGAAUCACAGAAUACCCUGAUUUGGAAGGUGCCCACAAGGAUCAUCAAGCUGAAAUCCUGGCCCUACACAGGACAUCCCUAA
rnacentral:lncRNA from 1 species